rnacentral:rRNA from 1 species
CGCCUUGCCAGCCCGCUCAGAACUUAAAGGAAUUGAGGGGGCCCGCACAAGCGGUGGAGCAUGUGGUUUAAUUCGAUGAUACGCGAGGAACCUUACCUGGGCUCAAAUGUAUGUUGACGUAUUCUGAAAGGGAUACUUCUUCGGACAAUAUACAAGGUGCUGCAUGGUUGUCGUCAGCUCGUGCCGUGAGGUGUCGGGUUAAGUCCCAUAACGAGCGCAACCCCUAUCAUUAGUUGCCAUCAGGUCAAGCUGGGGACUCUAAUGAAACUGCCUACGCAAGUAGUGAGGAAGGUGGGGAUGACGUCAAAUCAGCACGGCCCUUACGUCCAGGGCUACACACGUGCUACAAUGGUCGGUACAAAGGGUUGCCAAGCCGCGAGGUGGAGCUAAUCCCAUAAAACCGAUCGUAGUCCGGAUCGCAGUCUGCAACUCGACUGCGUGAAGUCGGAAUCGCUAGUAAUCGUGAAUCAGAAUGUCACGGUGAAUACGUUCCCGGCCUU